rnacentral:piRNA from 1 species
UCCCCGUGUGCAGAGACAAGAGAUUGUAA